rnacentral:misc_RNA from 1 species
GAAAGCGGGAGCAAUCUCGCAAGUAAAGUGGCGUACGGGUGAGUAACACGUGGGUAAUCUACCUUCUGGUGGGGAAUAACCUUGGGAAACCGGGGAUAACACCGCAUAAGCUCGAGAGAGGAAAGCAGCAAUGCGCCGGAAGAGGAGCCCGCGGCCGAUUAGCUUGUUGGCAGGGUAAAAGCCUACCAAGGCUGAGAUCGGUAGCCGGCCUGAGAGGGCACACGGCCACACUGGCACUGAAACACGGGCCAGACUCCUACGGGAGGCAGCAGUGGG